AAGUCGUAACAAGGUUUCCGUAGGUGAACCUGCGGAAGGAUCAUUAACGUGUUUGGGUCCCCUCGGGGGCCCGACAUCCCACCCUUUGUUGUCACUUCAAUGCGUUGCUUCGGCGGGACGGACGCCCUGCGUCCGCCGGGCCCCAAAAAACGCCCGGAGAGCUCCCGCCGGGGUCAUACAAACUCUAGCCUUUGAACGAGUCGUCAGAGUGGAAUUUACAAAUAAUUCAAAACUUUCAACAACGGAUCUCUUGGUUCUGGCAUCGAUGAAGAACGCAGCGAAAUGCGAUAAGUAAUGUGAAUUGCAGAAUUCAGUGAAUCAUCGAAUCUUUGAACGCACAUUGCGCCCCUCGGCAUUCCGGGGGGCAUGCCUGUUCGAGCGUCAUUACAACCAUCAAGCACAGCUUGGCAUUGGGCCCCGCCCGCGGCCCUCACCGGCCCCGGGCGCGCCCCAAAACCGUCGGCAGAGUCAGCGAACCGCCGGGCGUAGCAGAAAAGGAAGGCGAGAGCCGACCCCUCACGUCCGACGGCCGCGGUCCCGCGCCGUUAAACCCCCAGGGCGCGCCUCCGGCGCGUCCGACCUCUCAAGGUUGACCUCGGAUCAGGUAGGGAUACCCGCUGAACUUAA
rnacentral:rRNA from 1 species